AUGCUCAAUGGCAUCCCAGGGAAGUGGAUCCAAUGCAAGAACGGGCUACGGCAAGGUGACCCCUUAUCACCCUACCUGUUCAUCAUUAUGGCCGACAUUCUCCAACAAAUGAUCAUUAACGCUCAUACGGAUGGUACUCUUUUACACCCCCUGUGCCCCCACCUCCCGUGCCCUGUUUUGCAAUAUGCGGACUACACUCUAAUCAUCGUCAAAGCUACCACGAAUGCAGCCAAGCACCUCAAACACAUCCUAGACGCCUUUGUCGCUGCCACUGGCCUUCAAAUCAACUUCACCAAAACGACGUUCAUCCCCCUUAAUGUGGAUCCGCAGGAUGCCGCUCAAAUGGCCACUGACCUUGGGACAAACAUCUCCUCCUUUCCUCAAACCUACCUAGGGCUACCCCUCUCCUCGCAUAAGCUGCCGCCCUCUGCUUUCCAGCCUGUCAUCGACCGUUGCGAUACCUAUUGGCUGGCUGGUGUGCCCUACUCCUCUCGCGUGGUGGCAAAUUAG
rnacentral:rRNA from 1 species